rnacentral:lncRNA from 1 species
CAGGCGUGAGCCAUCACACACAGCCCCAUAAUUUUAUUAAUAGUAGUUGUAGUUCAGUUUUUAUAAUUUUCUCUCCUGAAAACCCUGCCGGAUACCCAUUUUCCUUUUUGUUUAAUCUAUUGUAAUAUUUAACUGUAUCCUGCUAAAUUGAUAUCUAGAGAGUUUCUAAAAGGAGGAACUCUUGGGAUUCAGGGCUUUAGACACGAUUGAAAUAAAUGUCUUUCUUAAUUGCAGACCGUGAGAGAAACGUGGUGGUGAUCAUUAAGUUUCCACUACUGAGUGUUAAAAAAGGAUUUAUUUCAGGUUGAGUGUACGUUUGCUUCGUCUUCAAAGUAGAAAGUUCCUGGAGAAGACCUACUCUUUCUGGAACUGUUUUUGUUUGACCCAUGCUAUGCAAACUUACUCAUUCAUGCAAACACUGGGUGCUUUAUGCAAAUAUUACCACCUGUAUUUUUUAUUUGUGUUUCUCAAAGGAGUUUUGGCAAAAUUUGCAUAAUGACUUGGCUCAUUUAGCUUUGUGUAUUGUUAAGAGUUCAAAUUCUGUGGAUAUGAAAGUUUACAGUGUAUACCAAAUAAAAAGGUCGUGUGGUAGGCAGUGUUCUCAGGAUAAGCCUGUGUUAGGUAUUCAAAUCUAAUUUGCAUAUUGGAUCUAGACCUAUGACUAUUAACUCCAUUUACAGUUGAUAAAAAUUUGCAUAAAAUUGGUCAUCUUGAUAGCUUAAGGUAUACUGAGCAAAAUGUUAACUCCUUGGGUAGCAUGUGUGACUGUAUGAUUGUCAAGAUGAAAGUUAAUCUAAGCACAUUUGGUUUACUGAUAAUCAUUUCUAGAAAUGAGCUGUAGUAUCAUGUCAGAAUGUCAGAAACAUGUCUGACAAUUUACCUUUUCAUACUAGAAAUGGUGGAUGACAUGUUUCAAAUCCUGGCAGCUGUGCUGUAUCAAAUCCUCCCUAUGUGAAUAUCAUGCUUGGUACUUAGAUAGUUUAGGAGCAGUACUGUGGCUUGUGAUUUGUUGUAUAAUUCUGAAAGAAAAUAUAUUAAUUUUGUGCACUUUAUAUUGGCUCUUGCUUUAUUGUAGCCUUUAUCCAUUAAUCUGCUACUGAUGGAUAAUUUCUCAAUCAUUUGGUCCUUUUUGUAAUGGCUAUGUGGAGUUGGCAAUUCUUUUUAUUAAAUAUUGCAUGACUGUAUAUGUGUUAAUAAUUUAUUGGGGUAGUGAGCUGAUAUAAAUCUCUUUUUAGAUGAAGUUUUUGGCUAUUUACAAAGGUUGAUUACUUUUUAGAACAGUGAUUGCCUCAGAUUUGCAAAGGUUGAGGAAAAGCACACCUCUUAUUUUACCUUUUUCCAUUUGUGGUUAAACCUAUUGUAAAUAUAUUGGAAGGGUUUUAGGCCCUUGAAGACGCCUCUGUAUUUGAACAGUUUGAUUCUGUCAAUUUCAUUUAAAUCAUUAUUUUUUGUAAGACCUCAGGAUAAAUACCACUUUUGAGGUAGUGACUGAACAAACAUGAGUUCUUGAAUAGUUUCUAUUAAAAUGUUUUUUUUAAUCCUA